CUCCAUUAGUCUCUCUCCUUUGUGCGCUCUCUUCCCAGUGCCAAUCACGUCACUAAUUGGGGGGUGGAGUGGGCAUCUGGUAGGCCACCUAAAUGCCGUAGAGGUAGGCGUGUAUAUAUAUAGACACCUGGGGUCCUUAUGCCGGUAUGUUAUCACUCUGCUGCUGGCACUGGCGUGAGGAAGCAAUGAUGUGGGUGCUGUCUCGAACUACGAAGUGUGUAUGGGGAAGCAGACGCUGAUUUGAACCGCGGUGUACCAGUGUUUUGCGUGAUCAUUUCCAUGGACAAGCACCCGCUGGGUAUUGUGGCUGUCGUGGGGUACCUGCUAUAAACGUAGCGUUCCUUGCAUCCGGUAACGUGAGCGGCAGACUGUUUAACUGCAACCAGCAUUUGGAGUGUUGCUGUUGCUGUUCUCUACACGUAUGAUUGUGGUGGUGAUUAUUGUUUAACUAGAUUUUGGUUUGUUUUUCCUCUAGCCUGUUGAUUGUAACGAGUAUUGUAGUGAGAGUGCAGUUAUUGUACAUCACAGGCUAGAGUGGUUUCUUUAUUCCUUUGUUUUGUCCCCCCUCCCUCUCGUGUAGC